UUCUUCAAAGAUGUUGCGAAUCGUAACGUAACUGUUUAUGAAAUUCAAAAUGGAAGAACUAUUUAUUUGGGCACUAUACGGGAGCUUCAACAAAAAGUGCGACUUUAAUUACAGUUUUGUUUAUGGUGAGUUUUAUACAAACACAUCUUCAAUUAUCAACUUCAAUAAACAUCUCAAAGAAAACAUUGUACAGAAAAGAUUGAGUAUACCUGGGGAUUACUCCGUAAAGAAUCUACAUACAUAUGAUUGAGUCAAAAUCAAACAGCAGUUCAACAUCGUUCAUUAUCAUAUGAUUUGUUUAACAAUACAUGAUUUUAGAUUGAGAAAAUGUAAGCCCUUAAGGAUGUUUUUAUCCGGGAUUUUUUUCCUUUACAUUAAUUGCGAUUUUUUAAAUUAAAUUUUUUUUUAAACGUUUCCAUUUUGGCUUCAUUUCCCUUUGGAAAAUGUCUCUGUUCCGAUUUUUUUUUUGUUGUGUUUGUUGUUUUAUUGUUAUCAGCAUUUUUUCUCAUACUUUUAAAAGCGUACUGCCAACAUUGAGGAGGAAAUCAAUUAUAACACAUUUGGUGGCUGUUUUUUCCUCAUUGUUUCAGAUUGGCUUUUUUCGUAUUUUCCGUUUGCAUUUCCUCAUUUCAUUUUCAUUUUGUUAACAUAGAAUUACAAACACAGAUUAGAAGGACCUUUUUGUUUCAAUUUUUUGUAUUAUUUCUCAGUUACUUUAGGACAUUGUUGUUUCUCUAUAAUUAUAUAUUUAUUUAUUUAUAUUUAUAUAUAUAUAUAUAUAUAUUAUUACAUUCUAUUUAUAUAUUUAUUUUAUUAGAAUUUUUUACUAAAAACAAUUAAGAGUGCUAUGCAUAUUCGACUUGGCCGAAUUUAUUAUACCCUCCAACAUAAUUUUAUUAUUUUUUCUUUGUUUGAUUUUCAGAAAUGUACGAGAAGAAUUUGGUUCUCUGUAUUUUGAAAAUACUACAAAAUCCAGGUCCUCGGCGGUUCUAUCUUACCCAAAAUUAGUUUUGUUUAAAUUUGACCCGUAAACAAAAACAAAUUGAUCGAAUCAUUUAUACAAUAUUUUCCAUGAAAAGCUGCAUUA
rnacentral:sRNA from 1 species